rnacentral:rRNA from 1 species
GACGAACGCUGGCGGCGUGCUUAACACAUGCAAGUCGAACGGAGUGGCGAACGGGUGAGUAACACGUGGGUGACCUGCCCUGCACUUCGGGAUAAGCCUGGGAAACUGGGUCUAAUACCGGAUAGUGUGGGAUGGGCCCGCGGCCUAUCAGCUUGUUGGUGGGGUAAGGGCCUACCAUGGCGGCGACGGGUAGCCGGCCUGGGAGGGUGGACGGCCCGACUAGGACUGAGAUGCGGCCCCGACUCCUACCGGAGGCAGCAGUGGGGAAUAUUGCACAAUGGGCGGAAGCCUGAUGCAGCGACGCCGCGUGGGGUAUGACUGCCUUCGGGUUGUAAACUCCUUUCACCAUAGACGCGGUAGAUUGAGAAGAAGCACCGGCUAACUACGUGCCAGCAGCCGCGGUAAUUC